CAGAUAGCUUAGAUCUGAGCGCACCUUAUUAUCGAAUGGCGAUCAGAUCACAUACAUACAGUUCAAUCGCCAUGGAGCCAAAGUCUUUCCCAUAGUCUUUCUUUACAGUAAUGGGCUCCAUGGCUUAGCUAUCUGAGGUGAUGCUGUUCAUCCGGCUAAACUACCGAAUGAACAGUAAUUCGGUUCCACUACCGAAUGUAGAGGUAAG